GCGUGCGAUCUUACCAGCACUAAUGCACCGGAUCCUAUCAGAACUCCGUAGUUAAGCGUGCUUGGGUGAGAGUAGUACUCUGAAGUUAAGCGUGCUUGGGUGAGACUAGUACUAGGUUGGGUGACCUUCUGGGAAGUCCUGGUGUUGCACCCC
rnacentral:rRNA from 1 species